rnacentral:rRNA from 1 species
AUUGAACGCUGGCGGAAUGCUUUACACAUGCAAGUCGAACGGCAGCACGGACUUCGGUCUGGUGGCGAGUGGCGAACGGGUGAGUAAUACAUCGGAACGUGCCCAGUCGUGGGGGAUAACGUAGCGAAAGCUACGCUAAUACCGCAUACGAUCUAAGGAUGAAAGCGGGGGAUCGCAAGACCUCGCGCGAUUGGAGCGGCCGAUGGCAGAUUAGGUAGUUGGUAGGGUAAAGGCCUACCAAGCCGACGAUCUGUAGCUGGUCUGAGAGGAUGAGCAGCCACACUGGGACUGAGACACGGCCCAGACUCCUACGGGAGGCAGCGGUGGGGAAUUUUGGACAAUGGGCGCAAGCCUGAUCCAGCCAUUCCGCGUGAAGGAUGAAGGCCUUCGGGUUGUAAACUGCUUUUGUACAGAACGAAAAGGCUCUGGUUAAUACCCGGGGCUCAUGACGGUACUGUAAGAAUAAGCACCGGCUAACUACGUGCCAGCCGCCGCCGUAA